rnacentral:lncRNA from 1 species
CCAGGAUUCUGAUGAACUUCUGCUGUGAACUAUUUCCUGUGGAUAACAUGCAGAAGAAGCAGAGUCCCCCAGCAUGCCUGACUGAUGUGUACUGCCCACAGCUGCCACGCCGUGUAACCAGGAACCAACUCCAGACUGUGGUAUGCAGUGGGAUAGCUUGAACGCAGCAGUUCUAGGAGGGUUAAAAAUUAAACCAGCAAUCAAGAUCUAAAGCGGCGCUGGGUUUAAAAGACUGGCAAGGUUCAGCUGUGAGUCAAUUCAUUAGUUGCAGUUAAUAUUGCUAGAAGAGCUUGACAAAAGGAAACACGAAGCAACUGAAAAGAAACAUCCUUAAGGUGAAUGUCAAAGUUUUUGCAUCCAGCAAAGAAACGAAAAGCUGAAUACAGAAGAGAAAGCACUGGUUCCCAUUGAGUGGUUACAGAGGAAACAAUCGUACUACUACAGAGACCUGACUAGAGAAUGAAUCUCAUGACUGGCUUAUCUCCUCCAGGACUGGUGAGAAACCCAAAGUAGCUACAGUGUCUGUUCAGACUUGCACAUAGAAGGCUCUGUUCCAUCAGGGUACACUGAAAUGCUGGGUUUGUGUAGCAGUGGUGAUUUCCAGUUUUCUUGAAUCCCAUUGUCUGUUCAGCACCCACUUAGGAGCAAAGAAGGAGCUUCUGCAUCUGUGCAUCUGGUGUGACCUACACAGUGCAGCCAUGGGCUCCUGCUGCCCUGGAAGCAGCCUUCCAAAGAAACAGUUCCAGCACAUUCUCCUAGGCAAAUAGUUAAUUAUCAACACUAACAAGUUUCCUGCCUUGUAAUAUUUCAAAUCCUUGACUGCUUGCUGCUGCAGAUGGAGUAUUGGUUACCCUCCAUCAUCGGUCUGGCUGCGAAGACUUCCUGUGCUUGACAAGUUGAUUACUUCGUCAAGGUGAAUGUUCAGUCGAGUCUGUCUGGAGGACCUCUGUGUGUCUGAUGCCAGCUGGUUUCUCACCAGACGCACUGUUUCACCAGGCACAGAAUAAUAUGAGGAGAAAAAAUGGGAUUUUGAGGGGCUUUUUUCCCCACUCCCUUUUUGAGGUUGGUGUUGCUCCAGUUUAUCCCAGUAGGAUGUAGGUGGAUAACUCUCUAAAUGCAGCCAUCUUCUAUAUGGAGAGCAAACCUCUCUGAUGAAAUGCCGCUGUCCUUUAUAUGUGGUUUUCCCUGCCUUUAGGAUCCCCAAAAGAGGUUAGAUAGCUUGGAAGCUGUGGCAUUAACAGUGCUUUCAUAUUGUCCAUUGUGUAUCAUCAAGGAAGCGCAGUAAAACCCAAAUAAAUUAAAUGAAUUUCAUUGCAGUUCCUGAGGGAGAGCAGGAUGCUUUACUUGUGAGUUUCAAGUCAGGUCAGGAGGGUUGGAUCUCCACAGAGA